AUACGUAGGUGGCAAGCGUUAUCCGGAACUAUUGGGCGUAAAGCGCGCGUAGGCGGUUUUUUAAGUCUGAUGUGAAAGCCCACGGCUCAACCGUGGAGGGUCAUUGGAAACUGGAAAACUUGAGUGCAGAAGAGGAAAGUGGAAUUCCAUGUGUAGCGGUGAAAUGCGCAGAGAUAUGGAGGAACACCAGUGGCGAAGGCGACUUUCUGGUCUGUAACUGACGCUGAUGUGCGAAAGCGUGGGGAUCAAACAGGAUUAGAUACC
rnacentral:rRNA from 1 species